AACUCAUUAUACAUCAAUUACUUAAAAAGUGGGACAAACCCAAAAUCAAUUUUGCACACCUAAAAAAGAAAGAAAAGAAAUAAAUAAACAAAAAGACAGCAUAUCAAUGGAAUACAAUUAUAUACUUUCUACUUCAAACACCAAAAUAUUACAGCUUGAAACUAAAAAUCACCAAUAUACGAGCUUCUACACACCACAAUUUCAAAAUCAUAACUAUCCCAAAACCAACAAGAACUAAUA
rnacentral:misc_RNA from 1 species